CAGCAGCCGCGGUAAUACGAAGGGUGCAAGCGUUAAUCGGAAUUACUGGGCGUAAAGCGUGCGUAGGCGGUGAGUUAAGUCUGCUGUGAAAUCCCCGGGCUCAACCUGGGAAUGGCAGUGGAUACUGGCUCGCUAGAGUGUGUCAGAGGAUGGUGGAAUUCCCGGUGUAGCGGUGAAAUGCGUAGAUAUUGGGAAGAACACCGGUGGCGAAGGCGGCGACCUGGUCCAUAACUGACGCUGAGGCGCGAAAGCGUGGGGAGCAAACAGGAUUAGAUACCCCUGUAGUCCCUGUCUCUUAUAC
rnacentral:rRNA from 1 species